CCUACGGGUGGCAGCAGUGGGGAAUAUUGGGCAAUGGUCGCAAGCCUGACCCAGCGACGCCGCGUGAGGGAAGAAGGUUUUCGGAUUGUAAACUUCUUUUCGCCGGGACGAAGCAAGUGAGGGUACCUGAGGAAUAAGCCACGGCUAACUACGUGCCAGCAGCCGCGGUAAUACGUAGGUGGCAAGCGUGAUCCGGCUUUACUGGGUGUAAAGGGCGGGUAGGCGGGAAAGCAAGUCAGAUGUGAAAACCAUGGGCUCAACCUGUGGCCUGCAUUUGAAACUGGUAUUCUUGAGUACUGGAGAGGCAGACGGAAUGCCUGGUGUAGCGGUGAAAUGCGUAGAUAUUAGGAGGAACACCAGUGGCGAAGGC
rnacentral:rRNA from 1 species